GGAAAGCUGACAGCCGCCUUAGUGCCGUCGCACACAGAUCUCCCAAGGCAGUUAACGAUAUUUACUAAAACAUACUAAAUUUUACACUGGAUGUUCCAGAGCUAUUGCACUUUGCAAGGACCAAGCUUGUUAAACUCAGAUCUCUGGUAUUCUGUGCAAGUAGAAUCUACGUGCAGGAUCUGAACUGCUGGAUAUAGGCUACUGAACUACUUCCUCUGACUUUAAUUUUGGCAGAUACAAAUCUCAGGUACUGGAGUUCAGAAGGUAUCUUGCAAGACUUCCCACAUAAUUGUUCUAGCACUUUUCUGUAUCCACUUCUAACUUCAUAUCUAAAAACAACUAACCAACUAGCCAACCAAUAAAAAAACCUUCCCGAGUGCUUUCUGAAUCUUGGUCCUAAGACAAGUCUUCCUCCCUCUUCAAUGUUAGAAGUCACCAAUAAACUGAAUUACCA